rnacentral:misc_RNA from 1 species
GAUGAAGAACGCAGCGAAAUGCGAUAAGUAAUGUGAAUUGCAGAAUUCAGUGAAUCAUCGAAUCUUUGAACGCACAUUGCGCCCGUCAGUAUUCUGGCGGGCAUGCCUGUUCGAGCGUCAUUACGCCCCUCAAGUCCCCUGUGGACUUGGUGUUGGGGAUCGGCGAGGCUGGUUUUCCAGCACAGCCGUCCCUUAAAUUAAUUGGCGGUCUCGCCGUGGCCCUCCUCUGCGCAGUAGUAAAACACUCGCAACAGGAGCCCGGCGCGGUCCACUGCCGUAAAACCCCCCAACUUUUUAUAGUUGACCUCGAAUCAGGUAGGACUACCCGCUGAACUUAAGCAUAUCAAUAAGCGGAGAA